UUCUACGCUGCAGAGGUGCUGCUAGCGCUCGAGUAUCUCCACAUGCUCGGCGUUGUCUACAGAGACUUGAAACCCGAGAACGUCCUCGUCCGAGACGACGGUCACAUAAUGCUCUCAGACUUCGACCUCUCCCUAAGAUGCGCGGUUUCACCAACCCUGAUCAAAACCUUCGACUCCGACCCCUCAAAACGCGGCGCCUUCUGCGUCCAACCCGCUUGCAUAGAGCCCACAUCCUCUUGCAUCAUCCAACCCUCGUGCUUCCUACCGCGUCGCAUCUUCCCUACCAAAAAGAACAAGACUCGUAAAACACAAACAGAUUUCUUCAAAUCACAUCACUCGGGAGGAGGUUCUCUCCCCGAGCUGGUGGCCGAGCCCAACACGAGGUCCAUGUCCUUCGUUGGCACGCACGAGUACUUAGCUCCGGAGAUCAUCAAGGGAGAAGGACACGGAAGCGCGGUGGAUUGGUGGACGUUUGGUAUCUUUGUUCACGAGCUUUUGUACGGUAAGACGCCGUUUAAAGGAUCAGGGAACAGAGCUACUCUGUUUAAUGUGGUGGGAGAGCAGUUGAAGUUCCCUGAGUCGCCGGCCACUAGCUACGCGGGGAGGGACUUGGUUCAGGCGUUGCUGGUGAAAGAUCCGAAGAGUAGGUUGGGGACGAAGAGAGGAGCGACGGAGAUAAAGCAGCAUCCGUUUUUCGAAGGAGUGAACUGGGCGUUGAUAAGGUGUAGUACUCCUCCUGAAGUGCCGAGGCAGAUGGAGGUAGAGCCGCCGCCGAAGUAUGGACCGAUUGAUCCUGUUGGGUUUGGUAGUAACAGCAAGAGGAUGAUGGGACCGCCACCUGUAUCAGCGGCAGCAGCAGGAGGAGGAGGAGGAGAUGCAAAAGCUGGUGGGAAGUUUCUAGACUUUGAGUUUUUCUGAAGGCUUUGUUUUUUUCCCUCAGAAGAGUUUGUGUUUGGUUGCUUAAUUAGUAGUUAUAGUCUUCUUAUGUCAAGGGGGUUUAAUAGAUCAGAGUGGAGGGGGUUAGGAGGUUAAAUCUGUCUUCCAUUUGAACCAAAACUUUUGUAAGGACAUGGAAAGCUCCAAGUCUUAAGAAAAUCUCCUUUGGUACUACUACUAUUACUACUGCUGUGUUUGUCGGAAUCUCUUUUUCUUUUGAGUCAAUGGAUUGUUGUCACUGCCAUGCAUGUUAUGGUGGUCCAAGAAGAAACCCUAUGUUCUUCAGACAAAGAAGAGAAAUGAUCAUGUUGUCAGAUUAGGUGAAUGGUAAAUGGUCUACUUUUACUAUAUGCAUUAUUGAUAUAUAUAUAUAUAUAUGUAUUAAUCAAAUUACUGUUUUGUGCGUUUCUGUAAAAAAAAAAAAUUUGAACUGAUACACCCCAAUUUAAAUAAUAUAUUUUCUGGACUAGUAUUCAAACAAUGAGUUUUCUGUUGAAAGGAAUCAAUGCUAAACAUAGUUAUAAAGAUAUAUUGUAGGAGUACAUUUUAAUAGAUGAUUUAGUCUUUUAUGGUGUGUCCCUUUCCAGUCCCAAACAAGUGUACUGUUGUUGCCUUUCCUCAUUGUCUAUAAGACUACUAAUUUGUUGAGCUGAACUUUGGUCCCAUUCCACUCUCCUUGAUUUUGACUGAACCAACCAUGACGGGCGUUUCAUAAGGCGUAUCAAUUUAUGGGCCUUUGGCCCAAUAUUGUAUCACAGUUUUUUUAGAUAGUUUGUUUCGUUCCGCCGUUCCCUUGCGUAAAAUGCCAACGUCUAUUUAAGUAAAGAAUUACUCAAAUAGAAUUAUUUAAAUGUUUUUCCUGUAUUGGUAUAGAGUGAUGUUACAAAGAAAUGAACCAAUGGAUUGAGUAAAACGAAAGUCAAUUAACAAAGCGUGUCUUUGACGUAUGACUUUGCCUUUGCCUUUCUACGUCGGGCUUAAUAGUAUUUUAGAACAUUCGUCGGCACGUGAAAAUUGUGUUCUUUAAUAUUAGCUAAUAUUUUCUUUAGAGGGGUAAUGAUUAUUAUUUUUUAAAUCCAGAGAGCUUAUGUCUUAUUCCCCUUGGAGCAUCUCCAACCCCUAGUUAUUUUCACCUCUAUAUGCUAUAAUAGAAGUAAAAGUGUUCUAUCUCAUCUCUAUUUUCACCUCUAAAAUAGAGAUUACUAUUUUUUCCUCUAUUUAUAGAGUCAUACUUUUUUAUUUUCAAAAUAGUCCUUUAACUUUCAAUUUUUUAUAGUUGUAACCAAAAUAAUUAUAUUUAUAGAGAAAUACAGCUUUUGUAGGAAUAUAAUAACAUUUUUUAUUUACAUAAUAGUCUUUUAACAAAACUUUAGUUUAAAAAAGUUCAUAAGUUUAUGAAAAUAUUUUAAAAGUUAAAAAUAAAUAGGGUUAGUUAUCAAUUUUUAUAAACAAAAUGUAUCUUUUGUAAAAUUAAAAUAGAAUCUUUUGANNNNNNNNNNNNNNNNNNNNNNNNNNNNNNNNNNNNNNNNNNNNNNNNNNNNNNNNNNNNNNNNNNNNNNNNNNNNNNNNNNNNNNNNNNNNNNNNNNNNNNNNNNNNNNNNNNNNNNNNNNNNNNNNNNNNNNNNNNNNNNNNNNNNNNNNNNNNNNNNNNNNNNNNNNNNNNNNNNNNNNNNNNNNNNNNNNNNNNNNNNNNNNNNNNNNNNNNNNNNNNNNNNNNNNNNNNNNNNNNNNNNNNNNUUUUCUAAAUGGGUUUUGUAAAUGAAAAGUUAAAAAUGAAAUCUUCAAUCCCUAUGGUUGUUAUCGAGCAAUGGAGGGAUAUAAUACAGACAUACACAAACUCGUGUUCUGUAUCUUUGUCUCGAAACCAAAAAAAUUAGCCCUGAGGGUUUAUUACCAAAUCACGCGUUAUAUUUAUUCUCAGACAAGAUGGUCCCAUAUUUUGUUUGAUUGAUUUAGUUAAACAUGUUUUUUUUAUAAGGUAUAAAGAGAUUUGUUUUUGGAGUGUUGAAGAUCUCGUAUGAAUGCUGGAUAUGGAAAGAGUUGGUGAGCUUAGUAAAGGUCCUGUCUCAAGAAGACAAUACCUAGACUUUGAAAAUAGAGAUAACGGUAUGCAUCUCGAGUCUCUGAGGGAACGAGCUGCUCGUUACAAGGGAGGAGGAAGACCAGUGAAUCCCACUACGACGUUAGGGAGAGAGCUAAGCCAAGUUCUCAAUGUACACAGAGACGAGAUGAUGAUGAUUGGUGGUGAUAUGAAUGAUUUUCAGGAGUUUGAGCCUGUGGUGAGGCCAACAACGAUGGAUUCAAAGUACCCUUUGCUGGAGAUCGACGAGGUAGGUGGUGGUGGUGGUGGUGAUGAAGCUGGCUCCAGCUCGUUCCGCGGUGUUAGCCAUCCUCCAGAGCCUGACGACAUGGAUCUCAUAACAACUGUUUAUGUCCCUAGCUCCACUAAAGGACCUUUCCUCGAGGAUCUCUCCCUCUGCGUCCCUGAGCCUGCCACAUCUAUGGCUCGUGCCUCUCAGAACACAGACAACUCUCUCCCGCCGCAAGAUUCAGACAAGGAAUGCGUUUGGGACGCGAGCCCACACAACAGCAGCGUGGAAAGCAUAAACUUCGCAAGGGCCAUGAGUAUGGCCAACAGCACUUCCGCUGAUCAGCAGAGGAACGAUGUCGUGCUCAGCAUGGACAAGAACUACAUUGAUAACAGGAGCAUCAACAUGGUGUUCGAUUCGUUCGAGAGCAGAGCGAGCGACAGCAGCUGCUUGAGCGAAGAGAGCAGCUGGAGCAACUUCACGGGGAGUCUCAACAAGCCGCACAAAGGGAACGAUCCGAGGUGGAACGCUAUUUUAGCCGUCAGGACGCGGGACGGUGUGCUAGGGAUGAGCCAUUUCAAGCUGCUGAAGCGGUUGGGGUGUGGUGAUAUAGGGAGUGUGUAUCUGGCGGAGCUGAGUGGGACCAGGUGUCAUUUCGCUGUGAAGGUGAUGGAUAAAGCUUCUCUUGAGAAUAGGAAGAAGCUGAAUAGGGCUCAGACUGAGAGGGAGAUUCUGCAGCUGUUGGAUCAUCCGUUUCUGCCGACGUUGUAUACUCAUUUUGAGACGGAUAGGUUCUCUUGUUUGGUUAUGGAGUAUUGUCCUGGUGGUGAUUUGCAUACUUUGAGGCAGCGCCAGCCUGGGAAGCAUUUCUCUGAGUAUGCUGCUAGGUAUGUCUUCGUCUCUCUGUUCCAAAACAAGGCAUUAGCAUUCGGUUUUUGGUUCGAAAAUCACGGUUUUUGUUUGGUUCUAGAAAUUUAGGAACCCUUGGCUAUCUAUAAAAUUCUAUGUAGUUUUGGUUCAGUUAUUUUGGUUUGGGUAGUAGAGUUGGGAACCGGCUCAUAUCUAGGGAGAAAAAUUGGGACUAGUUUGGUUCCGAUCUGGUUUCGUUUUUUGGGUAAUUUUGGAUAAUAUGGGUAAAAAUAUUGGAUAAUUGGGGGUUUCAAUUUAAUUAUCGGAUAAUUGGGAUUAUUUGGAUAAAAAUAUUGGGUAGUUUGGAUAAAAAACUAUCCAGGUAAUUUGAAUAAUUCGGUUUUGAAAGUAUUUUAAGAUAUUUGGUUAUUUGAAAAUUUAAUAUAAUUGAUAUAUUUAGGUAUAUAAUCUAUAUUUUUAAAAUUCGGGUAUCCAUUAUGUUCUCAGUUUCGUUCCGGUUCGGUUUUGUUUUUUCAGUCUGGUAUAGAUCUGUUUGGAUAUUCAUCAAAUUCGGUUUGAUUUCAGUUUUUUCGGUCCGGCACGGUUUGGUUCCUCUGUUCCGGUUCAAAUUUAUAUAUUUUCACGGUUUGAUUCAUAGUUCCAACGUUACCAGAGCUAAGCUAAGUUUCAUUUCAUUCACUGUGAUGACUCACUUUCUUUAUACGUUUCCUUUUUUUUUGGGCAGGUUCUACGCUGCAGAGGUGCUGCUAGCGCUCGAGUAUCUCCACAUGCUCGGCGUUGUCUACAGAGACUUGAAACCCGAGAACGUCCUCGUCCGAGACGACGGUCACAUAAUGCUCUCAGACUUCGACCUCUCCCUAAGAUGCGCGGUUUCACCAACCCUGAUCAAAACCUUCGACUCCGACCCCUCAAAACGCGGCGCCUUCUGCGUCCAACCCGCUUGCAUAGAGCCCACAUCCUCUUGCAUCAUCCAACCCUCGUGCUUCCUACCGCGUCGCAUCUUCCCUACCAAAAAGAACAAGACUCGUAAAACACAAACAG
rnacentral:lncRNA from 1 species